rnacentral:rRNA from 1 species
CACGUAGGGGGCAAGCGUUGUCCGGAUUCAUUGGGCGUAAAGAGCUCGUAGGCGGCUCGGUAAGUCGGGUGUGAAACCUCCAGGCUCAACCUGGAGACGCCAUCCGAUACUGCCGUGGCUAGAGUCCAGUAGGGGAGCGUGGAAUUCCUGGUGUAGCGGUGAAAUGCGCAGAUAUCAGGAGGAACACCAGCGGCGAAGGCGGCGCUCUGGGCUGGAACUGACGCUGAGGAGCGAAAGCGUGGGGAGCGAACAGG